rnacentral:rRNA from 1 species
UACGGGGGGUGCAAACGUUGCUCGGAAUUAUUGGGCGUAAAGCGCGUGUAGGCGGCUGCGUAAGUCGGGUGUGAAAGCCCUGGGCUUAACCCAGGAAGUGCAUCCGAUACUGCGCAGCUCGAGUACGAGAGAGGGUAGAGGAAUUCCCGGUGUAGAGGUGAAAUUCGUAGAUAUCGGGAGGAACACCAGUGGCGAAAGCGGCUACCUGGACCGAUACUGACGCUGAGACGCGAAAGCGUGGGGAGCAAAC